UGCCAUGUUUUCAGUUUUUGAGCCUUACAAGGAUUCAAAAGUGGAUACUCUUGGACCCAAGCUACUUUUCAUUGCCCUGAACUUGGCAGGUCUGGCAUUGGGUGUCUGGAAGCUUAAUACAUUGGGUCUUCUUCCAACACAUGCAUCAGACUGGGUAUCAUCGUUACCCCCUGCUCAGGAAGUUGAAUAUUCUGGUGGUGGCAUUCCACUCCGUUAAUGCAUUCUUUGAUUUGGCUGUGCAACAUUUUUAGUUUGAAGGACAAGUGGCAACGGGUGUUACUGAAGCAGGAGGGAAUUCUUUUACACUUGGAGAAGUCAGUAUUAGGUGUGUGGUUCACCAGAGAAUAUAUGCGACAUGGUUGGAUUCAAUUUUUAGACCAAGGAACAAUUUGUCGAUCAUGAUCCUUGUGAAAGAUAAAAAGCUAAAAGUAAAAACAGAUCAAUAGAUGCCCUUUUGACCAUUCAGUGGCUCUGCCUUGACAACCUUUUUCUGGCAACUUGUUCAACAGUGUGUAUGUUACUACAUUGCUAAUCUAUUACCUGUUUGCUUCUGUUGAAUCUUCAUUUACUUGUAGGGCACCUGAUGGUAGUAGUUUCCCAAGAAGUGGGGAAAAAACUAGUUUUGUUUAUGAUUUCUCCCUUUUUUUUAGAAGAGAAUAUUCUAUUAACUUGAGCAAUUGACGGAAUGCUUGAAGACAUUCAUACUUCGCACAUUCUUAAAGAGAUUUCUUUAAA